AUGGCUUACCUUCACUCCGUGGGUAGCGGCGGGAAGUUCAUUCACGGGAACAUGAAGUCAAGCAACAUCCUUCUCUCAUAGGAACUCGGCGCCUGCGUCACCGAGUUCGGCCUUGCCCAGCUCAUGUCCACGCCCCACGUCCACCCACUGCACGCGGAAUGGCUUACCUUCACUCCGUGUGUCUCAAGUAUGAACGCUUAUGCUUUUCUGGAUCAAUUGAAAUGUCUUUCAUCUUCUAUGACUAUGCAUGUGUUUUUCAAGCAAUACUUGGUACUCGAGCAUCAGAGAUCAUAAAGCUUGUUCCUUUUUGUCUCCAUUUAUCAGUCGAGGGGGAGUCACCAACGAACGACCCACAAUUGGCAGUACAUUGGAGGGGAAAUACCAGAAGCUUGGAGCUCUGCCCCGACUUUCUUGAUCGGCUUGCCAACUGGCUUGUAUUCAUCACCGAAAACCAUUUCUUGUCUUGAGUGUAUUGGUAAAUAAUUUCUGUCAACCUCAAGAUUUUCCUUCAGAGGAUAAGAAGGUGAACAAGAAGCUGACAACCAAGCUGACCCUAUACUCAGGAUGUGUUGUGCCUUCUGGUGGUGAAACCGUCUCUUUAAGCAACUGAACUGCUUUAAGUAUAACAGAAGAGCUCAGUGAUUUACCCUUUAGAAAAUCCUCUACCUUGCUAGCUCUGAUGGCAUGGUCAGCUCCAUAAGCACCGAACACCAAGCAUAUAUCCUCCAUGAUGUUCUUCCCUGAAGCUGCAUCAGUUGAAGUCCUUGCCAAGAGAGCAGCAUUGACAUAUGAAGCAGCAUUGCCAAAUGGCCGAGGCGCUGCCCGGAAUGUCUCAAAGGUGAUGCCAUCUGAAUCCCACUUUGGGAUGAAUAUGCUCAUCAACAGGGUCCUAGAAUCACAUGGAGACUGCUGCAAGAACUCCUCCAAAGUAAGGCACAACCUUUUGGAAGCCGUCUGGAUUGUGACUGUUGUACCUGCAGCCAGUAGCACAGUUGCUAUGUCUGACUCGAAUGGCAACCUCUGCGCCAUGAUUAUGUUGCCACCUAUGGUUGUUGUGUUCCGAACAAAUGGUGAAGCCACUUUGCUUAGGUGAUUGGCAAUUUUUCUGAAGACCAGAUUUCCAUCUGACAACACCUCAAUGGUUGUAGCCUGUAGAGAUGGACACAACCGAUCCAAGCUCAAUUCCCUUAACGCUGCUGUUGAUGACUGAUAGCUCUGGUAUUCCUUUGAUGUCAAUGUACUUGUCAUAGAGGUCCUGAUCCAUGUGUAAGGGAGUUCACUGCCACUCCCCGCUCAUUUUUUCUGAAGGGGAAAUAUCCAUCUUCUUGUUGUUUUGUACCGUUGGAUACUUUAGCAUCAUUCUCAUACUACUAGGAGUGUAGGUAAGGAGUCCACACACGAGUUUGUAAACACCAUGUGUAAGGGAGUUCACCAACGUGAUGUGCCUCACCUACAGGGGUGCUGCUUUGUCACCACCCUUGUGCCUUGUCCAGGUGCUA